rnacentral:misc_RNA from 1 species
AGCAGCCGCGGUAAUUCCAGCUCCAAUAGCGUAUAUUAAAGUUGUUGCAGUUAAAAAGCUCGUAGUUGAAUUUCGAGACCGGCUUACUGGUCGUGCUAUUGUGCGUACUGGUAUAAUCGGUUUCUCCUUUCUGACGAACUAUAAUGCCAUUAAUUUGGUGUUAUAGGGAAUCAGGACUGUUACUUUGAAAAAUUAAAGUGUUUAAAGCAGGCUCGCGCUUGAAUACAUUAGCAUGGAAUAAUGAAAUAGGACGUUUGACCCUAUUUUGUUGGUUUCUAGGAUCGACGUAAUGAUUAAUAGGGAUAGUUGGGGGCAUUAGUAUUCAAUUGUCAGAGGUGAAAUUCUUGGAUUUAUUGAAGACUAACUACUGCGAAAGCAUUUGCCAAGGAUGUUUUCAUUAAUCAAGAACGAGAGUUAGGGGAUCGAAGACGAUCAGAUACCGUCGUAGUCUUAACCAUAAACUAUGCCGACUAGGGAUCGGAUGAUGUUAUUU